rnacentral:lncRNA from 13 species
UCAUUGUGGCCUCCAGGGAGCAGUGUUUCUGAGGAAUUAGGACAACGUUGAUGCUGGAGUGGAGAAGGGAAUGUCCCUGCCGUGGGUAUUUGGCUCAUGGUGAAUCCCAGGAGACUGGUGAUGACUAAGUCCUCUCAGACAGGAGAGGACUUAGCAUUGAUAUCCCUGAGUGGCACUGGAGCAGAUAAAGCACCAUCACGUUGAACUGGAUGUAUACAGCCAGCACAGGAGACAGCUGCUGGAGAUGCCCAGAUAUAACUGCAGGGAAACUUACAGCUGGGUGUGAGACCUGAAUAGGCAGAAAAUGCAAGUGCAGGGAAGAGACAGGUUAUAUAAUGACACUGAAGCACCAAGAAGUGAAGUUACUAGAUGAACAUUAUACAUAUGUAGAGACGGGGUUUCACUGUGUUUCCCAGGCUGGUCUCGAACUCCUGAGCUCAGGCAAUCCACCUUCCUCGGCCUUCCAAAGCACUGGGAUUACAGGCAUAAGCCACCAUGCCCAACUUCUGCAUAUUCUUAUAUACAGUGCAGUCAUCUGGAAGAUGCAAGCUGGUCUUUGUAUUAGCAAAGCUGGGCUGGUGGUCUUCAACACUUGCUUCAUCGGGGGAGAUCUACCUUGCCAACCCAGCUGGAAGAAUGAUAGCAAUUGCAGCAGGAAUCCUAUGGAUUCUCUCUGUAUUUACUGAAAGUUCAGCAAUUCUUCCUGAAUCUGUAAAAUUCAACAAAAAUUCUACAGAUUUUCAACGUAUUUACCCAAAGUUCAGCAAAUUAAUUGAGAUGUGUUUCUGAAUAAAAUAAAAUUUUUUGCCA